rnacentral:miRNA from 1 species
AAGAACGUGACACAUGACAAUCAA